AGCAGCCGCGGUAAUUCCAGCUCCAAUAGCGUAUAUUAAAGUUGUUGCAGUUAAAAAGCUCGUAGUUGAACUUCGGGGUUUACCCAUUGGUCAGGCUUAAUUGUCUGUACUGGUGAGAUGAAUCUCUACCUUCUGAGGAACUCUCAUGCCAUUUAUUUGGUGUGGUUGGAAAUCAGGACUAUUACUUUGAAAAAUUAGAGUGUUUAAAGCAGGCUAACGUCUGAAUAUAUUAGCAUGGAAUAAUGAAAUAGGACGGCUUGGUUCUAUUUCGUUGGUUUCUAGGAUCACCGUAAUGAUUAAUAGGGAUAGUUGGGGGCAUUAGUAUUCAAUUGUACAGAGGUGAAAUUCUUGGAUUUAUUGAAGACUAACUACUGCGAAAGCAUUUG
rnacentral:rRNA from 1 species